GGUAAUGUCUGGGAAACGUCUCGAUGGAGGGGGAUAACUACUGGAAACGGUAGCUAAUACCGCAUAACGUCGCAAGACCAAAGAGGGGGACCUUCGGGCCUCUUGCCAUCGGAUGUGCCCAGAUGGGAUUAGCUAGUAGGUGGGGUAACGGCUCACCUAGGCGACGAUCCCUAGCUGGUCUGAGAGGAUGACCAGCCACACUGGAACUGAGACACGGUCCAG
rnacentral:rRNA from 1 species